GUGCUCUCUUUAUACAAAGUACGCUCAGAUCAGAGACAACUUUAUGCAGCUUACUGGCCAAGACGCUGGGAGAGCCAUUAUUUUAUCACGAAAACGAAGGGUGAAUGCUUCACAAACCUAUCGUUAAUUGGCUUCAGCUCUCACACCUCCUCACUCGAUCUUUCACAACAUCUCUCUCAGUUUCGUACUCCACGUUUUUAUUCAUGGUAUUUCAACACAACAGUCAGAGUGCAACUUCGACCAACAAAAUGCUGAAAAAAGACAGUAGAUCUAGACCCUAAAUGCAUCAUACAGUCAAGCUUGCGUGAAGCAAGAUGACCAUAGAACAGAAAGUCAAAGAAAAAUGGAGGAGGAUUCUUUUGAGGAUUCUCCAGCAGAAAUGGAGGAUACAGAUAAACAUCUGAUUCGAAAUGAAGUCUGGAGCUUGCCAAUCACCUGACGAGCCAAAUGAUAUUUCCAAUCAUGAUGAAGGUUACCAAGAGAAGGAUGGCUGUAAUAAGACAUUCUUUUACAGGGGUCAUCUCUCCCGACAUGCAAGGACUACCCACCUUGGCCAGAAACCUUAUGACUGCCGAUAUAUGAUAUGGUUUCCCCGAGCAAAGCCAUCUUGAAAACCAUGUGAUCGUCCUCACAUGAGAAAAGUCAGACCCAUGUCUGCACUUCAUGAGAAGAUUUUACUAAGGAUUCGAAAUGAAGUCUGGAGCUUGCCAAUCACCUGACGAGCCAAAUGAUAUUUCCAAUCAUGAUGAAGGUUACCAAGAGAAGGAUGGCUGUAAUAAGACAUUCUUUUACAGGAGUCAUCUCUCCCGACAUGCCAGGACUGACUACCCACGUUGGCCAGAAACCUUAUGACUGCCGAUAUAUGACAAGGUUUCCCGAGCAGAGCCAUCUUGAAAACCAUGUGAUCGUCCUCACAUGAGAAAAGUCAGACCCAUGUCUGCACUUCAUGAGAAGAUUUUACUAAGGAUUCGAAAUGAAGUCUGGAGCUUGCCAAUCACCUGACGAGCCAAAUGAUAUUUCCAAUCAUGAUGAAGGUUACCAAGAGAAGGAUGGCUGUAAUAAGACAUUCUUUUACAGGAGUCAUCUCUCCCGACAUGCCAGGACUGACUACCCACGUUGGCCAGAAACCUUAUGACUGCCGAUAUAUGACAAGGUUUCCCGAGCAGAGCCAUCUUGAAAACCAUGUGAUCGUCCUCACAUGAGAAAAGUCAGACCCAUGUCUGCACUUCAUGAGAAGAUUUUACUAAGGAUGUGAAAUGAAGUCUGGAGCUUGCCAAUCACCUGACGAGCCAAAUGAUAUUUCCAAUCAUGAUGAAGGUUACCAAGAGAAGGAUGGCUGUAAUAAGACAUUCUUUUACAGGGGUCAUCUCUCCCGACAUGCCAGGACUGACUACCCACGUUGGCCAGAAACCUUAUGACUGCCGAUAUAUGACAAGGUUUCCCGAGCAGAGCCAUCUUGAAAACCAUGUGAUCGUCCUCGCAUGAGAAAAGUCAGACCCAUGUCUGCACUUCAUGAGAAGAUUUUACUAAGGAUUCGAAAUGAAGUCUGGAGCUUGCCAAUCACCUGACGAGCCAAAUGAUAUUUCCAAUCAUGAUGAAGGUUACCAAGAGAAGGAUGGCUGUAAUAAGACAUUCUUUUACAGGGGUCAUCUCUCCCCACAUGCCAGGACUGACUACCCACGUUGGCCAGAAAACUUAUGACUGCCGAUAUAUGACAAGGUUUCCCGAGCAGAGCCAUCUUGAAAACCAUGUGAUCGUCCUCGCAUGAGAAAAGUCAGACCCAUGUCUGCACUUCAUGAGAAGAUUUUACUAAGGAUUCGAAAUGAAGUCUGGAGCUUGCCAAUCACCUGACGAGCCAAAUGAUAUUUCCAAUCAUGAUGAAGGUUACCAAGAGAAGGAUGGCUGUAAUAAGACAUUCUUUUACAGGAGUCAUCUCUCCAGACAUGCCAGGACUGACUACCCACGUUGGCCAGAAACCUUAUGACUGCCGAUAUAUGACAAGGUUUCCCGAGCAGAGCCAUCUUGAAAACCAUGUGAUCUUCCUCACAUGAGAAAAGUCAGACCCAUGUCUGCACUUCAUGAGAAGAUUUUACUAAGGGUAAGAUUUUACUAAGGGUAAGAUUUUACUAGGGGUAAGAUUUUACUAAGGGUAAGAUUUUACUAAGGGUAAGAUUUUACUAAGUGUAAGAUUUUACUAAGGGUAAGAUUUUACUAAGGGUAAGAUUUUACUAAGGGUUGGUCAUGUCAGAAGCCACACAGAGUGUUUUUCGUUAUAACAAGACAUUUUCAAAGAAUAGUGGCCUCACUUAGCACAUGAUGAACUAAGCAUACAGAAGAGAAGCUAUACAGUGCCAGUCGAGUGGUUUAAGGCGCUUGACUGUAGAUGCGAAUGUCGAGGGUUCAAAUCCCGACAUGGCACUAAUAUCCUUUGGCAAGAUAUUUACCUG
rnacentral:lncRNA from 1 species